UUUACAUGAUGACCAACCAUGCUAAUAUUGAGGAAACUUUAGGUUUUCGCUGAGUAAAAACUAACUUCUCAAACACUGACUUAUAUAA